UACGUAGGGUGCAAGCGUUGCUCGGAAUCAUUGGGCGUAAAGGGCGCGUAGGCGGCCCGCUAAGUCGAACGUGAAAUCCCCGAGCUCAACUCGGGAACUGCGUCCGAUACUGGCGGGCUUGAAUCCGGGAAGAGGGAUGCGGAAUCCAGGUGUAGCGGUGAAAUGCGUAGAUAUCUGGAGGAACACCGGUGGCGAAGGCGGCAUCCUGGACCGGUAUGACGCUGAGGAGCGAAAGCCAGGGGAGCAAAGCGGGG
rnacentral:rRNA from 1 species